rnacentral:tRNA from 1 species
AUGUAGCUCAGUGGUAGAGCGCCUGCCUAGCAUCUGAUAGGUCCUGGGUUCAAUUCCUAGCAU